rnacentral:rRNA from 1 species
CACGUAGUUAGCCGGGGCUUCUUACUCAGGUACCGUCAUUUUCUUCCCUGCUGAUAGAGCUUUACAUACCGAAAUACUUCUUCACUCACGCGGCGUCGCUGCAUCAGGGCUUCCCCCAUUGUGCAAUAUUCCCCACUGCUGCCUCCCGUAGGAGUUUGGGCCGUGUCUCAGUCCCAAUGUGGCCGGUCAUCCUCUCAGAUCGGCUAUCGAUCGUCGCUUUGGUGGGCCCGUUACCCCGCCAACUGGCUAAUCGAACGCGGGUCCAUCUCAUACCACCGGUAGUUUUUACCCCUGCACCAUGCGGUGCUGUGGUCUUAUGCGGUAUAACAGUCGUUCCAAUGUUACUCCCCCUGUAUGAGGCAGGUUACCCACGUCGUUACUCCACCCGUCCGCCACUACGAAAUAAAGUCUUCCGCCGAAGGUUUCCGCCUCACUUCUCGUCGACUUGCAUGUGUAAGCACGCCGCCAGCGUUCACUCCUGACGUCCGAGGAUACCAAACUCCUCUACGAGACUCGACCAAACC